CCCUUAGAUGUCCGGGGCCGCACGCGCGCUACACUGAAGGAAUCAGCGUGGCUUUCUCCCUGACCCGAAAGGGUUGGGAAACCCGUUGAAUCUCCUUCGUGAUAGGGAUUGGGGCUUGAAAUUGUUCCCCAUGAACGAGGAAUUCCCAGUAAGCGCGAGUCAUAAGCUCGCGUUGAUUACGUCCCUGCCCUUUGUACACACCGCCCGUCGCUACUACCGAUUGAACGGUUUAGUGAGGGCCUCGGAUUGGACUCGGCCCGCUCUUUACCGGGCGGCGCCGUUGGUCGAGAAGACGCUCGAACUUGAUCGUUUAGAGGAAGUAAAAGUCGUAACA
rnacentral:rRNA from 1 species